AAAUGAGUCUUAAUCUUUAAAAAUUGUUUUAACGUAUUUGAUACUAUAGACUUAAAACAUCAAGUAUUAAAUUAGAAAAAGAUACUUCCUAUGUAUAAUAUUUAAAUUGAAAAAAAUAACAAUAUUUCAAUUUAUUGAUUUACUGAUCAUUUUGUCAACUGACAAAAUGGGGGUGUGGAACCUGUGGAUGGUUUAGGUGGAUGGGGAUUUCUGUGAGAACAAAGGGCAAAAUAUAUAAAGAAAAGAGAAAAUGGACAAAACAAAAGAGAACUGAUAGAGAAUAAUGGACUCAAAGUUAAAAGACUAGAGAAUAAUGGACUCAAAGUUAAAAGAAUAGAGAAUAAUGGUCAAAGAGAAUAAUGGACUCAAAGUUAAAAGAAUAGAGAAUAAUGGACUCAAAGUUAAAAGAAUAGAGAAUAAUGGACUCAAAGUUAAAAGAAUAGAGAAUAAUGACUAAGUUAAAGAAUUGAAGAAAAAUGAUCAAAGUUAAAAGAAUAGAGAAUAAGGACUCAAAAAAAGUAGAAAAAGGAAAAGUAGAGAGAAUAAUGGACUCAAAGUAAAGAUAGAGAAAAAUGGACUCAGAACUAGAGAAUAUGGACUCAAAGUUAAAAAAAUGAUACGAGGAAUCAAGUUUAAAGAAUAGAAGAAUAAUUUGGUUUAAAAAUAGACUAAAGUUAGAGGACAAAAAAAUGGAGAAAUUUACUCAAGUUAAAAGCUAAGAAAAUGGACUCAAAGUUAAAAAGAAUAAAGAAAAAUGGAAUCAAGUAAAAACUGGAAAAUGGACUCAAAGUUUAAAAGAUAGAGAAAAAUGGACUCAAAGUUUAAAAGACUAAAUUAAAAGUAAUAGAAAAAUGGACUCAAAGUUAAAAGAAUAGAGAAUAAUGGACUCAAAGUUAAAAGAAUAGAGAAAAAUGGACUCAAAGUUAAAAGAAUAAAUGGACUCAAAGUUAAAAGAAUAGAGAAAAUGGAUCAAGUUAAAAGAAUUAAAAAGUUAAAAAAUAGAGAAAAAUGGACUCAAGUUAAAAGAAUAGAGAAUAUGGAGUUAAAGAAAAGAAUAGAGAAUAAUGACUCAAAGGAGAGAAAGAAUAGAGA
rnacentral:lncRNA from 1 species